rnacentral:ncRNA from 1 species
AAGAAACUUGGUCCUGAUUUUAUUGUCUUCUCUAGCUUCAACUUACACAUGCAAGUCUCCGCACCCCCGUGAAAAUGCCCUUCUUUCUUUCUUCAAGAAAUAGGAGGGAGUGGAUAUCAGGCACAUCUCAGAUGGCCUAAAACAUCUAGCUAAGCCACACCCCCAAGGGUUUUCAGCAGUGAUAAACAUUAAGCUAUUAGUGAAAACUUGACUUAAUUAAGGCUAUUAAGGGUCGGUAAAAUUCGUGCCAGCAACCGCGGUUAUACGAAAGACCCAAGCAGACAAUACCCGGCGUAAAGAGUGGUUUAUUUAAAUUUUACUAGAGCCAAAUACCCUCAAGACUGUUAUACGUGUUCGAGAAUAUAGAAGCCCACCCACGAAAGUAGCUUUAUAAAAUAAAUACCACUAAAGCUAAGACACAAACUGGGAUUAGAUACCCCACUAUGCUUAGCCCUAAACCUAGACAACUUUUAUCUUCACCCGACUUCCGUUGUCCGCCAGGGAACUACGAGCAUAAGCUUGAAACCCAAAGGACUUGGCGGUGCUUUAGACCCACCUAGAGGAGCCUGUUCUAUAACCGAUAACCCCCGUUAAACCUCACCCUCACUUGUUUAUCAGCCUAUAUACCGCCGUCGUCAGUUCACCCUAUGAAGGCUUAAUAGUGAGCACAAUCAGCAUAACCCAAAACGUCAGGUCGAGGUGUAGUAUAUGUGAGGGGAUUAAAUGGGCUACAUUCUCUACUAGUUAGAGCAUACGAAAGGUGUAUUGAAAUUUACGUCAGAAGGAGGAUUUAGCAGUAAGUGAGAAACAUGAGUGUCUCACUGAAACCGGCUCUAAAGCGCGCACACACCGCCCGUCACUCUCCCCAAAAAAAAUUAAAUGCUCCCUAAUCGAAAUAAAAGAUAAAGGGGAGGCAAGUCGUAACAUGGUAAGUGUACCGGAAGGUGUACUUGGAAAAAU